GGGGUGCGCUCAGAGCAGGGGGCCUGAAGAAUGACUCCUCUGUUUAUACCGUACCCAAUAGGAAUCUGGUCACUGUGUGAGGAGGGUUACAAAAUAUGUUGCCAUCCUCUAAACAAAUGUCCUACACAG